rnacentral:rRNA from 1 species
GUUCUCCCCGAAAGCUAUUUAGGUAGCGCCUCGUGAAUUCAUCUUCGGGGGUAGAGCACUGUUUCGGCUAGGGGGUCAUCCCGACUUACCAACCCGAUGCAAACUACGAAUACCGAAGAAUGUUAUCACGGGAGACACACGGCGGGUGCUAACGUCCGUCGUGAAGAGGGAAACAACCCAGACCGCCAGCUAAGGUCCCAAAGUCAUGGUUAAGUGGGAAACGAUGUGGGAAGGCACAGACAGCCAGGAUGUUGGCUUAGAAGCAGCCAUCAUUUAAAGAAAGCGUAAUAGCUCACUGGUCGAGUCGGCCUGCGCGGAAGAUGUAACGGGGCUAAACCAUGCACCGAAGCUGCGGCAGCGACACUAUGUGUUGUUGGGUAGGGGAGCGUUCUGUAAGCCGUUGAAGGUGGCCUGUGAGGGUUGCUGGAGGUAUCAGAAGUGCGAAUGCUGACAUAAGUAACGAUAAAGCGGGUGAAAAGCCCGCUCGCCGGAAGACCAAGGGUUCCUGUCCAACGUUAAUCGGGGCAGGGUGAGUCGACCCCUAAGGCGAGGCCGAAAGGCGUAGUCGAUGGGAAACAGGUUAAUAUUCCUGUACUCGGUGUUACUGCGAAGGGGGGACGGAGAAGGCUAUGUUAGCCGGGCGACGGUUGUC